GAAAAUAGCUGUAGAGAAAUGGAAACUGGGCUGUUUUUAUCCGUGCCCCCUAAUAUGAGAAACUAUGCCUCCCUCAGAUUUUUUUGGCUAGACUAACAGAAAUAUGAGAAUAGCCCAUAUCAUUGACAUUAGAUGCAGAGCAUGGGAAAUGCCAAUGUGGAUUGGCUUGUGUGUAACAACUGACAAACAUGUGCUGUGCAAUUGUGAAUACUGGAGUUGUACAAGUGGUAUACUGUAAUACUGUUAUAGCAUAGCAUCAGAAUACAAAGACAGAAAUGAACAC
rnacentral:sRNA from 1 species